UGGCGGACGGGUGAGUAAUGUCUGGGAAACUGCCCGAUGGAGGGGGAUAACUACUGGAAACGGUAGCUAAUACCGCAUAACGUCGCAAGACCAAAGAGGGGGACCUUCGGGCCUCUUGCCAUCGGAUGUGCCCAGAUGGGAUUAGCUAGUAGGUGGGGUAAAGGCUCACCUAGGCGACGAUCCCUAGCUGGUCUGAGAGGAUGGCCAGCCACACUGGAACUGAGACACGGUCCAG
rnacentral:rRNA from 1 species